rnacentral:rRNA from 1 species
AUGAUCGCCGACAUCGAGGUUUGGGCAAUGGCCAUGUUGGACGCGUGUACGCAUGUCCCUGCCAAACGCAAAAAUCCCAGCCACGCCCUGAUUAGCGACCUCCUCGACGAGUUCGCCGCGCCCCACGGCCUGUCACCGCAUUGCCGGUACGACCACGCCGUCACCCUGGUGGAAGGGGCGAUCCCCGCUAACACCAGACCCUACCACUACUUGCCGCUCCAGAAAGACGAGAUCGAGCGGCAGGCUCGCGAGAUACUGGACUCGGGCGUCAUCACGCAUAGUGUCGGCCCGUACGUCGCACGGGUCCUGCUCGUCAAGAAGAAGGGCGACACAUGGCGGUUUUGUGUCGAUUACUGCCGGCUCAAUGAUGCGACAAUCAAGAACAAAUUUCCCUUGCCGAUUGUGGAUGAACUCCUCGAUGAACUGGCGGGCGCUGCGGUCUUCUCCAAGCUCGAGACAGACGUCCAGCGCAAGGCCAUGUCCAAGCUCGCCGGCCUCCAGUUUCGCUUCCUGUACAAGUGCGGCCUCGACAACGGCGCGACAGACGCGCUCUCUGGAGUGGGCAAGCUCAUGGACGUGGCCGCGCUCUCGACCUGUCAACUGGCCUGGUGCAGGAGGUCACCAACUCAUACGAGACAGACGCCGAUCCCCAAGAGCGCCUCUAGCACUUGGCCAUCCACCGCCCUGAUGACGUGGGCGGCCACUCUGGCAUCACCGCAACGUACCACCGCGUCAAGAAACACUUUGAGUGGUGCAGCCUGA